rnacentral:lncRNA from 1 species
UAGAUUCUUUUCUAAGAACGACUAAUUUCUUUGGAAUCUCAAAGUUUGUCAUAAUGUCAUCUUUUUUUUCCCCUAGGCCCUCGUGUGAAGAAUAUGUUGUCUUGAACUCAACCAUCAUAUAAUCGGUUUCAUCUAUAAAAUAAUAUCUCCAUAUUCUUAUUUUUUGUGCUUGUUCGUGAUUUCUUGAUUCAAUACCCUAUAUGCAUAGGAACCACAAACGUAAAAAAAAAAAAAAAAACUAUAGUAUUCAUUUAUAAACCAUCCAUAAAUUUAAAAAGAAUAAUUACGAAAACAAAAAAGCAUAACAAUGUCAUAAAAGCAUAAGGAAGAAUAAAAUAAGUCACAUGAAAAAAAAAAAAAAAGGAGAGAUGAAUAGUUUUUUUAUAGGAGAGACGAAGAAACUACUUUUUAUGUGAACAUUUGAUUCAUCAAAAUCGCAGCAUGAAGGAAAUAUUACUCUUGGAACAUUGAUAUCAAAGAAAAAAAAAUAUGAAGAAAAAAGAAUAAAAAGACUAAACAAUCUUUGUCUGAACAUUUGAUUCAUCAAAGUCACAACAUAAAGGAAAUAUAAAUCUUGGAGCAUUGAUAUCAAAGUUAAAAAAGAAGAAGAAGAACAAAGAAUAAAAAACGGGGGAUAA